CCUACGGGCGGCAGCAGUGAGGAAUAUUGGUCAAUGGGCGCGAGCCUGAACCAGCCAAGUAGCGUGAAGGAUGACUGCCCUACGGGUUGUAAACUUCUUUUAUAAAGGAAUAAAGUGAGGCACGUGUGCCUUUUUGUAUGUACUUUAUGAAUAAGGAUCGGCUAACUCCGUGCCAGCAGCCGCGGUAAUACGGAGGAUCCGAGCGUUAUCCGGAUUUAUUGGGUUUAAAGGGAGCGUAGAUGGGUUGUUAAGUCAGUUGUGAAAGUUUGCGGCUCAACCGUAAAAUUGCAAUUGAUACUGGCAGCCUUGAGUACAGUGGAGGUAGGCGGAAUUCGUGUUGGAGCGGUGAAAUGCUUAGAUAGCACGAAGAACUACGAUUGCGAAGGCAGCUUACUAAACUGCCACUGACAUUGAUGCUCGAAAGUGUGGGUAUCAAACAGGAUUAGAUACCCUAGUAGUC
rnacentral:rRNA from 1 species